rnacentral:rRNA from 1 species
CCCUUAGACGUUCUGGGCCGCGCGCGCGCUACACUGGCCGGUGCAACAAGCAUCCGUCCUUGGCCGACAGGCCCGGGCAAUCUUUGAACGCCGGUCGUGAUGGGGAUAGACUUUUGCAAUUUUUGGUCUUCAACGAGGAAUUCCUAGUAAACGCAAGUCAUCAACUUGCAUUGAUUACGUCCCUGCCCUUUGUACACACCGCCCGUCGCACCUACCGAUUGAAUGGUCCGGUGAAGCCUCCGGAUUGGCGCGCACCUCGGUGCCGCCGAGAAGUUGGCUAAACCUUACCAUUUAGAGGAAGGUGAAGUCGUAACA